rnacentral:rRNA from 1 species
AGUGAACGCUGGCGGCAGGCCUAACACAUGCAAGUCGAACGGUAGCACAGUAAGAGCUUGCUCUUACGGGUGGCGAGUGGCGGACGGGUGAGGAAUACAUCGGAAUCUACUUUUUCGUGGGGGAUAACGUAGGGAAACUUACGCUAAUACCGCAUACGACCUACGGGUGAAAGCAGGGGAUCGUCGGACCUUGCGCGAUUGAAUGAGCCGAUGUCGGAUUAGCUAGUUGGCGGGGUAAAGGCCUACCAUGGCGACGAUCCGUAGCUGGUCUGAGAGGAUGAUCAGCCACACUAGAACUGAGACACGGUCCAGACCCCUACGGGAGGCAGCAGUGGGGAAUAUUGGACAAUGGGCGCAAGCCUGAUCCAGCCAUGCCGCGUGGGUGAAGAAGGCCUUCGGGUUGUAAAGCCCUUUUGUUGGGAAAGAAAAGCAGCAGGUUAAUACCCCGCUGUUCUGACGGUACCCAAAGAAUAAGCACCGGCUAACUUCGUG